ACGUAGGUGGCAAGCGUUGUCCGGAUUUAUUGGGCGUAAAGCGAGCGCAGGCGGUUUCUUAAGUCUGAUGUGAAAGCCCCCGGCUCAACCGGGGAGGGUCAUUGGAAACUGGGAGACUUGAGUGCAGAAGAGGAGAGUGGAAUUCCAUGUGUAGCGGUGAAAUGCGUAGAUAUAUGGAGGAACACCAGUGGCGAAGGCGACUCUCUGGUCUGUAACUGACGCUGAGGCUCGAAAGCGUGGGGAGCAAACAG
rnacentral:rRNA from 1 species